rnacentral:rRNA from 1 species
CCCUAGUAACUGCGAGUGAAGCGGGAAAAGCUCAAAUUUAAAAUCUGGCGGUCUUUGGCCGUCCGAGUUGUAGUCUGGAGAAGUGCUUUCCGCGCUGGACCGUGUACAAGUCUCUUGGAACAGAGCGUCAUAGAGGGUGAGAAUCCCGUCUUUGACACGGACUACCAGUGCUUUGUGAUGCGCUCUCAAAGAGUCGAGUUGUUUGGGAAUGCAGCUCAAAAUGGGUGGUAAAUUCCAUCUAAAGCUAAAUAUUGGCGAGAGACCGAUAGCGAACAAGUACCGUGAGGGAAAGAUGAAAAGCACUUUGGAAAGAGAGUUAAACAGUACGUGAAAUUGCUGAAAGGGAAACGCUUGAAGUCAGUCGCGUUGGCCAGGACUCAGCCUUGCUUUUUGCUUGGUGCAUUUUCUGGUUGACGGGCCAGCAUCGAUUUUGACCACUGGAAAAAGGCUAGGGGAAUGUGGCACUUUCGGGUGUGUUAUAGCCCUUAGUCACAUACAGUGGUUGGGAUCGAGGACCGCAGCACGCCUUUAUGGCCGGGGUUCGCCCACGUUCGUGCUUAGGAUGCUGGCGUAAUGGCUUUAAACGACCCGUCUUGAAACACGGACCAAGGAGUCUAACAUGCCUGCGAGUGUUUGGGUGGAAAACCCGAGCGCGUAAUGAAAGUGAAAGUUGAGAUCCCUGUCGUGGGGAGCAUCGACGCCCGGACCUGAACUUCGGUGAUGGAUCUGCGGUAGAGCAUGUAUGUUGGGACCCGAAAGAUGGUGAACUAUGCCUGAAUAGGGUGAAGCCAGAGGAAACUCUGGUGGAGGCUCGUAGCGAUUCUGACGUGCAAAUCGAUCGUCAAAUUUGGGUAUAGGGGCGAAAGAC